UACGUAGGGGGCAAGCGUUGUCCGGAAUCAUUGGGCGUAAAGCGCGCGUAGGCGGCCCGGUAAGUCCGUUGUGAAAGUCAAAGGCUCAACCUUUGAACGCCGAUGGAUACUGCCGGGCUAGAGUCCGGAAGAGGCGAGUGGAAUUCCUGGUGUAGCGGUGGAAUGCGCAGAUAUCAGGAGGAACACCAAUAGCGAAGGCAGCUCGCUGGGGACGGUACUGACGCUGAGGCGCGAAAGCGUGGGGAGCGAACAGGAUUAG
rnacentral:rRNA from 1 species